AUUAAUUUAUUCCUCACAAAUUUUUUCCCAAUUUCUUUCCGAUCUCCUCACGCCGAUCUCCCCGCCUGCUUCUCUACCGAUCUCCUAACGCUGAUCUCUCCUCAGGUUCGCUUCUCCUCCCUCUUCCCUCUCCCCCGACGGUCUACCCGAUGUGUCGGCAGCCGAGUCGCGACCUCGCCGUGGCGCGGCCAGGUCGCGACUGGGCGGCGGCCUCGCAGCGAGGUCGCGAGGCCGGGCGCGAUCUCGGCUGCGGCCUCGCAGUGAGGUCACUAGGCCGUGCGUGACCUAGCCGCCUGCCCUCGACCAGGCCGCGUGCAGCCCUGGUCGAGCGCGCGUGCAGAAGUUGUUGUAUAGUUCCCAGUUGCUCUCCGGAAUCCUUCUUUUUCUCCAAAUGACAUAAAUUAAUGGAUGGAAAUGAUUUCUGAAUUGCUCAGCACACAUCAGACAAGUUUGUUAACAAUUUGCUGCAUACAAGUAGGAUUAUCUCGGCACCAAGCUCUACUGUUUAAGGUUUGCUAAUCUGAUAUUUUCAAAAUUUAUUGUGUGAGAUCAAUGUGCAUUGUGAACUACACUUUAUCAUAUGCUAAAUUGCUAUUUCACCGGACUAUAGGACUGUCAAGUAGUUCGAUCUACAUCAUGAACAGUAGCUUUAUCAAUAAUUACACAUUCAUCAAAAGUAUAUUAUGAACUAGCAUAUGGUCACGGAGCUUUGCUUCUUAUUGAGUUACAACAAAAAGUAACUUGUUAUUCAAUUUUGCUGGACUUUCACAUGACUACGCUCACAAGUUUAUGUUUUAACAAUAUGCAUGUUUUUUUUUUACACUUUUAAUAAUGUUGUAAAUUUAUUUCUCUUUAGGUUACAAUGAAUAUGAAUAAAGCUUGGAUGCACUAAUGGAUUUAUAACCGAUGAAUAUUUAAUGGAGUUGAAGAGUUUGUAAACUUCGCUAAGUGUCAUCCAAACUGAAUGGAUGUUGACAAGUUACAUUGUCCGUGUUCUCAUUGCAAAUGUAGAAAUACAACUUUUCGUGAUAAGGAUACUGUGAAAGUACAUCUAUGUAAAAAUAAUUUUGUUCCAAAUUAUUACAACUCGUACUAUCAUAGAGCCUUAUUUGAUUGAGGCAAUUGGACAUUCUGUUGCUUCAUCAUUUUCCUCUAUUUGAUGUCUACUCCUAAGCUCAAGGGUCGUCUGAGUUCUUCAUCUACUGAAGUGCAAGCAUUAAGACAAGAGAAUCAAGAAUUGAGGGAUUGGGUCACGACAUUAAAGCGGUUGGUGGAAGGUCGGGUCAAGGUGGUAGAAGAUGGGGUUAGGCGGUAUAGCAGUCGAUUGAAGAUCGGGUAUGGUUUUGAUUCCCAAGAGACUGAAGACCCUCAAGGUGUUGAUAAGUAGCGCAUAAUAAUAACAAUUCUUCUUAGCUCUAAUUGUAUUACAUCUUUUAAGGAACAAUGUAGAUAAAGGGUCAACCCUUAAAAACUCGGAUUUGAUCCUUCUUUGCCUCGAUGAAAUUGUUGAUGGAGGCUGAGAUUCGUGAACGUGAUUGGUACAAUGUUGUUACUUGUCAUAUGGACACGCCUCAAGCUUAUGUUUGGCAUCUUCAAAACUUUGUUAACGAUGAACAUAUUCUAUCACCAUUAGCAGAUAUCUAAACUUCCAUUAAGAUUUUCCUGAGGGGUCCCAAUAAUGCAAGGGAAGCUGUUAAGCACUUCGGCAAAGCUCCCGGUGUGCAACACAGCCACACAAAGCUUUAUGUCUGGUCCAAGGGGAGGAAAUUUGAGAAGGCAUGGGGAAGAAGAAACAGCAGAAAAUUAAGGGUUUGAUCUCCCAACAAGCAGCAAUCUACAUCUUCUUCAUUCUUUUAUGUUCUAUUUUGCAUCGUCUGGGGUUGUUAAUUUCCUCUGGAUUUCCCUAGGUCUUUUGAGUUUCUUAGUGAACCAUCAAACUAAAAUAUUUGUAUGUUUAAAUGUAUCAAAUAUAUGUAUACACUUACAUUUUUCGUAUUCUCGUUGAUUAACUUUUCUAGCUA